GAUGAAGAACGUAGCGAAAUGCGAUAAGUAAUGUGAAUUGCAGAAUUCAGUGAAUCAUCGAAUCUUUGAACGCACCUUGCACCCUUUGGCAUUCCGAAGGGUAUGCUCGUUUGAGUGUCAUUGUACUCUCACACUUCCAAUCUUUGGAUUGGGAGCAGUGGACUUGGGUGUUGCUGCUUACUGUGGCUCACCUCAAAUCGAUUCGUGCACCUCUUGGUUGGACAUAGUACGGCGUGAUAAGUGUCUUCGCCGGCACCUCAGUAAAGGGUGGCUGAUCAGGAGCUCUGUGCUUCAAACCGUCCUCGGACAACAACUGACAACUUGACCUCAAAUCGAGUAGGACUACCCGCUGAACUUAAGCAUAUCAAUAAGCGGAGGA
rnacentral:misc_RNA from 1 species